rnacentral:lncRNA from 1 species
CCAUCUAUUUUCGUCUUCGCUUUUCUUACCUAAUUAAUGUUAGUUAGCUCUAAUAUGAAUAUUUACAUACGUAGUUUCCACUAGAUCCUCGUAAUAAUUGAGAUUGAUAGAAGCCACGUCACUGUGUUCGAUUCGUUGAGGAAUCCACCGAAGGACUACCAAAACAUUCAAGAAAUGCAAAACUUGUAAUAAUUUUGGACCUUUAUCUCUAUGCAAAAGUUUGUUUCCUAAAUUUUCACGUAGCACUAUAUCAUUCAUUAUUUUAAUCCGUAGCACAUGGAAACAUUUCCUCAAGAAUCACCAAGGUCCAUUCAAAGAAAAACUUACGUUCUAAAUAGAUUUCCCG